rnacentral:rRNA from 1 species
AUUGAACGCUGGCGGCAGGCCUAACACAUGCAAGUCGAGCGGAGCGGCGGACGGGUGAGUAAUGCCUAGGAAUCUGCCUGGUAGUGGGUGAUAACGUCCGGAAACGGGCGCUAAUACCGCAUACUAUCAGAUGAGCCUAGGUAGGAUUAGCUAGUUGGUGGGGUAAAGGUCUACCAAGGCGACGAUCCGUAACUGGUCUGAGAGGAUGAUCAGUCACACUGCAACUAAGACACGGUCCAGGCUCCUACGGAAGGCAGCAGUGGAAAAUAUUGGACAAGGGGCGAAAGCCUGAUCCAGCCAUGCGGCUUGUUGGAAGAAGGUCUUCGGAUUGUAAAGCACUUUAAGUUGGGAGGCGUUACCAACAGAAGAAGCACCGGCUAACUUCGUGCCAGCCGCCGCGGUAAUAC